rnacentral:rRNA from 1 species
AUGUUGUUCAUUGUAAAUCUUGAAAAACUUGUUUACUGUCACGUCUAUAUCUAUUAUAAACUUUCGUUCCUGGUGUGGUACUUACCAAUCUUGGUUCGCCCUUCCAUUGCAGGAGACCAAUAUUUCUUUGUUUCUUCAAAAGAAAAUCUCAUUCCAUGUUUGCACUUCUAUUAUAGUAGAACAUGCCAUAAACAUGGCGCUGGGCAUUAUUUGUCCAGUUCCCUUCAAAAAGAAGAGAUGACUAUAGAGAGUGGCUGCAUCACUGAAGAGAUGACAAACGUUGUGCAAGGCAUUGUUUGUUUAGCUCUUUUCAAAAAUUAA